UCCAUUUCUACUAAGAAAGCCUUUGCCAAUUUCCUUUGAAAAUUGAAACAUACAUCUUUACUUUCUUCUCUUUAGAUUCAUUGGCUGAGUUAAAACAGAAGCACUUUUUUUUAUUUUUUAAAUUUCGGGGUCAAGGAUUUUAUAUGCAGGUGAAAAACCACUUUUAACUUAAAAAUAUUCUUUUUCCGCAAAAAUAACGGAAAACGCUAGUGUUUUAAAGUUAAAUAUGCGAUUAAAAAACCUUUCUACCCAAAUAUUGUUUAUUUUUAUUUUGGAAUUUAAUUUAUUGUUUUUUUGUCUAUUUUUAGAAGUUGGUUAAAAGAAUUUUAAACUCGACAUCGUCAAAGUCAUCGAGAUUUUGUGUCAUAUUUUUAAGACCUAAAACCAAAUAACUGAAUAUUAACUCAGCUAAUGAAUCAAAGAGAAGAAAGAAAUGAAUAAAUAAUAGACAGUCUCUUUUGUUUUAUUUUGUUUAUUUUAAAGUUUUAAAGGAUGAUAAGCAGUCUAGGUGUUCACAGUUGAGCUGUUCGCAAGCUUCAAUAGCAGCAGCCAGGAGGUUCGAUGAAUGUUAAGGAACUGCUGCAACAAUUAGGUUGUUAAUAAGUUAUUGAGUUAGUUGGUUCAGGUUGUUAUUCAUCUUCUUUGUUAAAACUUAGUAUAAAUACUAUGGUUGUAGGUUCUUCAUGUUGAACUUAGUGAAGAAAUCAUUCUUUCUUUCUUCUCUUUGA